rnacentral:rRNA from 1 species
GAUGAACGCUGGCGGCGUGCCUAAUACAUGCAAGUCGAGCGAACAGACGAGGAGCUUGCUCCUCUGACGUUAGCGGCGGACGGGUGAGUAACACGUGGAUAACCUACCUAUAAGACUGGGAUAACUUCGGGAAACCGGAGCUAAUACCGGAUAAUAUAUUGAACCGCAUGGUUCAAUAGUGAAAGACGGUUUUGCUGUCACUUAUAGAUGGAUCCGCGCCGCAUUAGCUAGUUGGUAAGGUAACGGCUUACCAAGGCGACGAUGCGUAGCCGACCUGAGAGGGGGGACGGGCCACACGGGACAGGGACACGGGCCCGACCUCUACGGGGGGGCGGAGUGGGGGAUCUUUCGGAAAGGGGGAAAACCCGAAGGAGGAAACGCGCGGGAGGGAUGAAAGGCUUUGGGUCUUAAAAACCUUUUAAUAGGGAAAAAAAAAAUUGUAAGGAAACUUGGCCAGUUUGAAGGUACCUAAUCAAAAAGCCCCGGCUAACUACGGG